GACGAACGCUGGCGGCGUGGAUUAGGCAUGCAAGUCGAACGGUAUCAUCCUUUCGGGGGUGAGAGAGUGGCGAACUGGUGAGUAACACGUAGGUUAUCUACCCUCAAGACGGGGACAACCCAGGGAAACUUGGGCUAAUACCGGAUGUGAGCAACUUUUAGUUGUUUGAAAGGUGGCGUAAGCUGUCGCUUGGGGAUGAGCCUGCGUCCUAUUAGUUAGUUGGUGAGGUAACGGCUCACCUAGGCAAUGAUAGGUAGGCGGCCUUAACGGGUGGUCGCCCACACCGGGAUUGAGAUACGGCCCAGACUCCUACGGGAGGCAGCAGUCGAGAAUAGUCUACAAUGGUCGGAAGACUGAUAGUGCGACGCCGCGUGAACGAUGAACUCCCCGUCGGGGUGUAAAGUUCUUUUAUAUGUGAGCAGUGCUUCUUAUAUUAACAGUAUGGGGAGAGAGAUAUUAGCAUAUGAAUAAGCAACGGCUAACUCCGUGCCAGCAGCCGCGGUAAACUCGU
rnacentral:rRNA from 1 species